UCCUGGGGCUGGAGAAGGUCCCAAGGGUCCGGCUGUUCGCCGGUUAAAGUGGUACGCGAGCUGGGUUCAGAACGUCGUGAGACAGUUCGGUCCCUAUCUGCUGUGGGCGUUGGAUAUUUGACAAGACCAUUUCUUAGUACGAGAGGACCGGAAAUGACGAACCUAGGGUGUUUCUGCUGUUCCGCCAGGAGCAAUGCAGAGUAGCCAAGUUCGGAAAGGAUAAGUGCUGAAAGCAUAUAAGCACUAAGCCUCCUUGAAGAUCAUAUAUCCCUUUCGAAAGAACUAAAGACCCCUUGAAGACUACAAGGUUGAUAGGUCAGAUGUGUAAGUGCCGUAAGGCAUUGAGCUUACUGAUACUAAUAGGUCGUGAGACUUAACUAU
rnacentral:rRNA from 1 species